rnacentral:rRNA from 1 species
GGAUGAACGCUAGCUACAGGCUUAACACAUGCAAGUCGAGGGGAAACGACAUCGAAAGCUUGCUUUUGAUGGGCGUCGACCGGCGCACGGGUGAGUAACGCGUAUCCAACCUGCCCACCACUUGGGGAUAACCUUGCGAAAGUAAGACUAAUGCCCAAUGAUAUCUCUAGAAGACAUCUGAAAGAGAUUAAAGAUUUAUCGGUGAUGGAUGGGGAUGCGUCUGAUUAGCUUGUUGGCGGGGUAACGGCCCACCAAGGCGACGAUCAGUAGGGGUUCUGAGAGGAAGGUCCCCCACAUUGGGACUGAGACACGGUCCAAACUCCUACGGGAGGCAGCAGUGAGGAAUAUUGGUCAAUGGGCGAGAGCCUGAACCAGCCAAGUAGCGUGCAGGAUGACGGCCCUAUGGGUUGUAAACUGCUUUUAUAAGGGAAUAAAGUGAGAGUCGUGACUCUUUUUGCAUGUACCUUAUGAAUAAGGACCGGCUAAUUCCGUGCCAGCAGCCGCGGUAACACGGAAGGUCCGGGCGUUAUCCGGAUUUAUUGGA